rnacentral:rRNA from 1 species
UGGGGAAUAUUGCACAAUGGGCGCAAGCCUGAUGCAGCGACGCCGCGUGAGGGAUGACGGCCUUCGGGUUGUAAACCUCUUUCAGCAGGGAAGAAGCGCAAGCGACGGUACCUGCAGAAGAAGCGCCGGCUAACUACGUGCCAGCAGCCGCGGUAAUACGUAGGGCGCAAGCGUUGUCCGGAAUUAUUGGGCGUAAAGAGCUCGUAGGCGGUUUGUCGCGUCUGCUGUGAAAACGCGAGGCUCAACCUCGCGCCUGCAGUGGGUACGGGCAGACUAGAGUGCGGUAGGGGAGACUGGAAUUCCUGGUGUAGCGGUGGAAUGCGCAGAUAUCAGGAGGAACACCGGUGGCGAAGGCGGGUCUCUGGGCCGUAACUGACGCUGAGGAGCGAAAGCAUGGGGAGCGAACA